GGCUAGAUGGCUGAGGGUUAGGCGGUAGAUUGUAAAUUUAAAGACGGAGGAAAGCUCCUCUAGCUA
rnacentral:tRNA from 1 species